AUUGAACGCUGGCGGCAGGCUUAACGCAUGCAAGUCGAGCGGGGGAAGGUAGCUUGCUACCGGACCUAGCGGCGGACGGGUGAGUAAUGCUUAGGAAUCUGCCUAUUAGUGGGGGACAACAUCUCGAGAGGGAUGCUAAUACCACAUACGUCCUACGGGAGAAAGCAGGGGAUCUUCGGACCUUGCGCUAAUAGAUGAGCCUAAGUCGGAUUAGCUAGUUGGUGGGGUAAAGGCCUACCAAGGCGACGAUCUGUAGCGGGCCUGAGAGGAUGAUACGACACACUGGGACUGAGACACGGCCCCGACUCCUACGGGAUGCAGCAGUGGGGAAUAUUGGACAAUGGGGGGAACCCUGAUCCAGCCAUGCCGCGUGUGUGAAGAAGGCCUUAUGGUUGUAAAGCACUUUAAGCGAGGAGGAGGCUACUUUAGUUAAUACCUAGAGAUAGUGGACGUUACUCGCAGAAUAAGCACCGGCUAACUCUGUGCCAGCAGCCGCGGUAA
rnacentral:rRNA from 1 species